GACGAACGCUGGCGGCGUGCCUAAUACAUGCAAGUCGAGCGAAUCAGUAGGAGCUUGCUCCUAUUGGUUAGCGGCGGACGGGUGAGUAACACGUGGGCAACCUGCCUGUAAGACUGGGAUAACUUCGGGAAACCGGAGCUAAUACCGGAUAAUCCUUUUCCUCUCAUGAGGAAAAGCUGAAAGACGGUUUCGGCUGUCACUUACAGAUGGGCCCGCGGCGCAUUAGCAGUUGGUGAGGUAAUGGCUCACCAAGGCAACGAUGCGUAGCCGACCUGAGAGGGUGAUCGGCCACACUGGGACUGAGACACGGCCCAGACUCCUACGGGAGCAGCAGUAGGGAAUCUUCCACAAUGGACGAAAGUCUGAUGGAGCAACGCCGCGUGAGCGAUGAAGGCCUUCGGUCGUAA
rnacentral:rRNA from 1 species